rnacentral:rRNA from 1 species
GGUCCUGCGUAGCAGGAAUGUAGGAUCUGGCCUGCCCAAUGAUUUAUUUAAUGGCCGCGGUAAUUUGACCGUGCAAAGGUAGCAUAAUCAUUAGUCCUUUAAUUGGGGUCUGGUAUGAAGGGUUGGACGAGGGGCAGUCUGUCUUUUUGUGGUUUUGUUUUGAAUUUUAUUUUUUAGUGAAAAGGCUAAAAUGUUCUUGUAGGACGAUAAGACCCUAUAGAUCUUUACAUUGAGGCCGUGCUAUUGCACGGGGUUUUGUUUUGUUGGGGCGACAGGGAGAUAAGAUAAACUCUCUUGUUUAAGUUUGUUUGUUACUUGUGGGUAUUUUUAUGAUCCUUUCGUUAAGAUUAUUAGAUUAAGUUACCUUAGGGAUAACAGCGUAAUCUCCUUUGAGAGUUCUUAUUGACGAGGGGGUUUGCGACCUCGAUGUUGGAUUAAGGGGGCCCUGUGGUGUAGAAGCUAUGGUUUGGCAAGUCUGUUCGACUUUUAAUUCCUUACA